rnacentral:misc_RNA from 1 species
GAUGAAGAACGUAGCGAAAUGCGAUAAGUAGUGUGAAUUGCAGAAUUCAGUGAAUCAUCGAAUCUUUGAACGCACAUUGCGCCCUUUGGUAUUCCAAAGGGCAUGCCUGUUCGAGCGUCAUUUGUAACCUCAAGCUUUGCUUGGUGUUGGGCGUCUUGUCUCUAGCUUUGCUGGAGACUCGCCUUAAAGUAAUUGGCAGCCGGCCUACUGGUUUCGGAGCGCAGCACAAGUCGCACUCUCUAUCAGCAAAGGUCUAGCAUCCAUUAAGCCUUUUUUUCAACUUUUGACCUCGGAUCAGGUAGGGAUACCCGCUGAACUUAAGCAUAUCAAUAAGCGGAGGA